rnacentral:rRNA from 1 species
UCCUACGGGGGGCAGCAGUGAGGAAUAUUGGUCAAUGGGCGGAAGCCUGAACCAGCCAAGUCGCGUGAGGGAAGAAGGCCCUGCGGGUCGCAGACCUCUUUGGACGGGGAGCAAGGCCGCCGACGUGUCGGCGGAAGGAGAGUACCCGUAGAACAAGCAUCGGCUAACUCCGUGCCAGCAGCCGCGGUAAUACGGAGGAUGCGAGCGUUAUCCGGAUUUAUUGGGUUUAAAGGGUGCGCAGGCGGACCAUCAAGUCAGCGGUAAAAUCGUGGGGCCCAACCCCAUCCCGCCGUUGAAACUGGCGG